rnacentral:rRNA from 1 species
UACGGAGGGUGCGAGCGUUGUCCGGAAUCACUGGGCGUAAAGGGCGCGUAGGCGGCGCGGAUAGUCGGCGGUGAAAGCCCGGAGCUCAACUCCGGGUCGGCCGUCGAUACUUCCGGGCUUGAGCACUGUAGAGGCAGAUGGAAUUCCGGGUGUAGCGGUGGAAUGCGUAGAGAUCCGGAAGAACACCCGUGGCGAAGGCGGCUCUCUGGGACGGUACUGACGCUGAGACGCGAAAGCGUGGGGAGCGAACAGG